GAAAUUAACAAGGCAACUACACAAUUCCAUUAAAAAGUAACUGCUACAUCAAUUAAGGCUGUUCGAAGGAAAUACAAAACUACAUAUAUGCAUGAACAAACUGCCUAUAAAAAUAAAGACAUGUAUUUUAAUGUGAUUGAAAUCUCAUUAAAAAUAUAUAAGGGUGAAAUCGUAAAAUAAGCUAUGACAGCUUGUGAACAUCAUAGCUUGCCAAAAAGUUAAAGUUAGAAGCAAUAAAUUUCGUUUAGUUCGUUGCUUUAUUUUACUCGAGGUUUUCUAACUCCUCUUGGGCACGUUGUUUAGCUUCACCAGAGACAUUAGGGUUAUGCAUGGCAGCUUUGUAACCACCACGGACAUUACCAGUAUUUUUCUGGUGCUCCUCUCCUACUUCACCUUCAUGCUCUUCGAGAUAUUCUUUCUCGCGUUGCUUGGUCUCUUCAGAGACGUUGGGGUUAUGAAGUGCAGCCUUGUGACCACCGAUAACGUUUCCAGGAUUAGGCAUUUUAAAUAUAGAUUGAGAAUAAACUUGAUUUAUGAAGAGACUCAGAGCGAAUGUUGCCUUUUAUAAUUUUUUUCUGUGGGCAAAAUCGCUAGUUUAAUCAAGACACGCAAGUCUUCUGUCACUCGUAUUUUGUAACAAUGACGAGGAUUUGCUUAUGGCACUGUAAGAAGUUAGCUUUGACAUUCAAAUACAUCAACGUGAGAUAAUUGUAGAGAUUC